rnacentral:rRNA from 1 species
UCGAACGAUGAAGCCCUUCGGGGUGGAUUAGUGGCGAACGGGUGAGUAACACGUGGGCAAUCUGCCCUUCACUCUGGGACAAGCCCUGGAAACGGGGUCUAAUACCGGAUAACACUCUCCSAGGCAUCUCKGGGGGUUGAAAGCUCCGGCGGUGAAGGAUGAGCCCGCGGCCUAUCAGCUUGUUGGUGAGGUAGAAGCUCACCAAGGCGACGACGGGUAGCCGGCCUGAGAGGGCGACCGGCCACACUGGGACUGAGACACGGCCCAGACUCCUACGGGAGGCAGCAGUGGGGAAUAUUGCACAAUGGGCGAAAGCCUGAUGCAGCGACGCCGCGUGAGGGAUGACGGCCUUCGGGUUGUAAACCUCUUUCAGCAGGGAAGAAGCGAAAGUGACGGUACCUGCAGAAGAAGCGCCGGCUAACUACGUGCCAGCAGCCGCGGUAAUACGUAGGGCGCAAGCGUUGUCCGGAAUUAUUGGGCGUAAAGAGCUCGUAGGCGGUCUGUCACGUCGGAUGUGAAAGCCCGGGGCUUAACCCCGGGUCUGCAUUCGAUACGGGCAGACUAGAGUGUGGUAGGGGAGAUCGGAAUUCCUGGUGUAGCGGUGAAAUGCGCAGAUAUCAGGAGGAACACCGGUGGCGAAGGCGGAUCUCUGGGCCAUUACUGACGCUGAGGAGCGAAAGCGUGGGGAGCGAACAGGAU